rnacentral:rRNA from 1 species
UCGGGUUGUAAAGCACUUUUGUCCGGAAAGAAAACUUCGGGGCUAAUACCUCUGGAGGAUGACGGUACCGGAAGAAUAAGCACCGGCUAACUACGUGCCAGCAGCGCGGUAAUCGUAGGGUGCGAGCGUUAAUCGGAGUUACUGGGCGUAAAGCGUGCGCAGGCGGUCUGUUAAGACAGAUGUGAAAUCCCCGGGCUUAACCUGGGAACUGCAUUUGUGACUGGCAGGCUAGAGUAUGGCAGAGGGGGGUAGAAUUCCACGUGUAGCAGUGAAAUGCGUAGAGAUGUGGAGGAAUACCGAUGGCGAAGGCAGCCCCCUGGGCCAAUACUGACACUCAUGCACGAAAGCGUGGGGAGCAAACAGGAUUAGAUACCCUGGUAGUCCACGCCCUAAACGAUGUCAACUAGUUGUUGGGGAUUCAUUUCCUUAGUAACGUAGCUAACGCGUGAAGUUGACCGCCUGGGGAGUACGGUCGCAAGAUUAAAACUCAAAGGAAUUGACGGGGACCCGCACAAGCGGUGGAUGAAGGUGGAUUAAUUCGAUGCAACGCGAAAAACCUUACCUACCCUUGACAUGGUCGGAACCCUGGUG